CAUGAAGCUGGAAUCGCUAGUAAUCGCAGGUCAGCAUACUGCGGUGAAUAUGUUCCCGGGUCUUGUACACACCGCCCGUCACACCAUGGGAGCCGGAAAUGCCCGAAGCCAGUGACCCAACCUUAGGGAGGGAGCUGUCGAAGGUGGAGCCGGUAACUGGGGUGAAGUCGUAACAAGGUACC
rnacentral:rRNA from 1 species